rnacentral:lncRNA from 1 species
UCACAUUUUUCCGUUGAAGCAUUUCUUCAAACACUUGUCAACCUAACAAAUUCAAACACACACGCACUGUUUUGUUGCUUAAUGGAAAUAACUCGUUUCCCAUUUCUUAAUCAAGAAGAAGACUACUCCCAUUUAUUAGAUUUACUCCCUGAAAUGGAGAGUAGAAGCACCUUCAUCAACAACAACAACAGCAGCAACAAUAAUAAUAAUAAUAACAACAAUUUGAAGAAGCGGCGACGAAGCGACGACGUAUUAAACAAGAGUGCCGCGUGGAGUGAUAUACUUACCUCACUAAUCUUGUUGGACGAAGAAGAGAAACGCGAGCAGCAACAAUAUUCUAUCCACUCUCACCAAGAUAAACUCCUCGUCGAUGACAAUCACAAGCGAAAGGAAGAAGCAAUGAACGAUUAUUUCCAUCAAUUGCAAGACCAUUAUA